UGGGGAAUAUUGGACAAUGGGCGAAAGCCUGAUCCAGCCAUGCCGCGUGAGUGAUGAAGGCCUUAGGGUUGUAAAGCUCUUUCGGCGGGGACGAUAAUGACGGUACCCGCAGAAGAAGCCCCGGCUAACUUCGUGCCAGCAGCCGCGGUAAUACGAAGGGGGCUAGCGUUGUUCGGAAUCACUGGGCGUAAAGCGCACGCAGGCGGAUCGUUAAGUCGGGGGUGAAAUCCCGAGGCUCAACCUCGGAACUGCCUUCGAUACUGGCGAUCUUCGAGUCCGGGAGAGGUGAGUGGAACUCCGAGUGUAGAGGUGAAAUUCGUAGAUAUUCGGAAGAACACCAGUGGCGAAGGCGGCUCACUGGCCCGGUACUGACGCUGAAAUACGAAAGCGUGGGGAGCAAACA
rnacentral:rRNA from 1 species